CCUGCCUACAUCAAGGCACACCUUCAGUAUGUCUGACUCGUCUUGGAUCUUCCUUCCUAGCAAAGUAAUUGAGUACUUUACUGAGAGGAGAGAGGAGAUAAACUGAAGUGUAUACAAACUACAAUAUUAUACAGAAUGUAGCAUGGGCCAAGAAUCUGGUUUGUGUUUAUCCUUCAUUAAUGGGAGGGAAGUAUGUUUGAUAAAGUACCUGUUCUGUACGUCAUCUGCUGCAAAAAUUCUGCUGGGCUCCUCUGUUGCAAUCUAUCAGACUGAUGGCUUUUGAACAUCCCAGUUUACAGCUUCUGUCUAGACUAUGGUUUGACCUUUUGUUCCUGGUGUCAAAAGCCUGAGUCUAUUGCCAUUGGGCAGAGAUGGAAAUGGGUAUUCCACUAACCUGAGUAGCUGGAACAUCAGUUGGGAGGUUGUUGGUUGGAAUGGAUGAAUGAUAAGAGACUUUGGAUGGGGAGCUUUGUCUCUCUGUAUGACAAAUGUUUUAUCCCUCACAUUACUGUUACCAUAACUCUUAUGAGCAAGUACAGAUUACUUUAUAACUAACUUCAAAAAAAACUUUUUUUUUUUUUUAACCUGCAUCUAGUGAGAAGAAGACAAAUCCUCUGUGACUGCUGCAUAUUGUAAUUGACAACAAUUUAGUUAAUUUACACACUCAAAUCUGGCAACUGCCUGCAUGACUCAAGGGACUGAGGAACACUUGGCAAAUAACAGAUUUUGUGAUGCUGGUGACACAAAUGGGAAGGGAUUAUUUAAAAAAAAGGGGAGAAGAGAAAAGGUGAUCUAACAUGUUGCCUUCCCAAUGAGGACCAACAUCCAUGAGGCUGGCUGCCCAUACGUGAGUAUCUGUGAGAAUUUUACCAUGAUGACUCGUACUACUUCUUCAGGUAAGAAGGCCAACAGUAUUUGUUGCUGCUUUAACAGGUUAAGUAUCACCAGCAAGUAAAGAGAGGUGAAACUUCUGUUCUGCUCAGCACUGGUGAGGCCAAAACUGGACUACUGGGUCUGGUUCUGGGCUCUUCAGUACCAGAGACAUGGACAUGCUGGAAAGCAUCAGGAAAAGGGCCACAAGGGCAGUGAAGGAACCAAAGCACCUCUCCUGUGUGGAGAGACUGAGAGAGCUGGGACUGUUCAGCAUGGAGAAGGUUCAGGGUGACAUCUCAUCAGUCCCCUAGGGAGACUAUGCCUUCGAUGCUAAACCUGUGGUUGGCCUUCAAAGAGACUAGCUCUGCAGGGAAGCAGCUAGCCCAGAGGGGCUCAGCAGUAGUAAUCAGUGCUUCUGGCCUCUUCAGGAAGAGGGGAAGGUGUUGUUCUCAGCCUUGCGAAGGAUUUGUGCCAGUGGUACAGAUUACUGCUGCUGCUGCUUUGAUACUGUAAAGCCUCAAAUCUUGCUUCAGUAAGAGUUGUGUCACCCGUAUCCAAAGCUGUGCACACACUGAUGAAAUCCACUUCCCUAAAGUGCUUUCUGGUCAUGGUUUACAUUCUCCUUAGAAUGACUCACAGAUGUAUUUCUUUUAUUUUUUUCUUAAAUCCCAUUAGUUACAUGGUGGGCUGGCAGACUGUGAUUUGAACUGGGCCUGUUUCAUUUUUUACUUCACAAACAAACUGGCAAUAAUGUGAGGAGAAGGAGGGGGGAAAGUUUAUAGUUCAAGCACUCAAAGGAUGAUCAUGUCUACCUCCUCGAUGUAUAAGUUUGGGUAGCAGGGAGCUGCAGAGGUGGCUGACAGAGUGAAAAGAUGCCAGAGGUUGCCUUGUGUUAGAAACAGAUUCACUGCUGGUCAAAGCUGAGAUGAUCAGUAAAGCUGAAUGUGCCCUCGUGAAAACAUUAAAGAAUGGGUAAAAUAGGCUGUGUAGCAGCUGUGAGAAAACCAAGUGAGGUAAAAAAAAAAAAAAGAAACAACCCUGCAGGCAUAAAGAUCAGUGAAGAAGGAGGUGUACUUGAGCACAGAUUCUUUUGUAACCCCUGAGGAAGACCAUGGUGAAGCGGGCUGUGCUCCCCAGCCCACGGAGGACCCCACACUGCAGCCAGCGAGAGUACUGAAAGAAUCUGCUGCCCCUGAAAAACCAAUGCUGGAGCAUUACCUUAUCCAUAUCCUUACCACAUGUGGAGGAUCCAUACUGGAGCAGUCCUCCUCCUGAAGGUCUGCACCCUGUGGUAUGGGCCUAUUGCUGAAGCAGUUCUGCAAGAAUUGCAGUCUGUGGGAAGGUCCCAUGAUAGAACAGUUCAUGAAGGGCUGUAUCCUAUGGGAGGGACCCCAAGCUGGAGUAGGGAGAAGGAUGAUAAGCAAGGAGUAGUAGAGAAGAAUAGUUAAGACCACAGGCCCCAUUCCCUGUCUUCGGUAUGCUACUUAUCCGUGGGGGUUGGAGGCAGAAGAGUCAAGAAUAAAGGAGUGAGACUCCUUGCAGGAAGAAGGAGAUUUUUUUUAAAUACAUUUUUUUAGUUCUUUGUUUCUCACCAACCUACUGUUUUUAAUUGGCAAUAGAUUAAUCUUUCCCAAGUUUUGUCCGUUUUGCCUAUGAUGAUCAUUGGUGACUUCUCUGUUCUUGUCUCAACUCACAAGCUUUUCCAUUUAUUUUCUCCCCCCUGUCCUGAUGAGGAAGGGGAGUGAGAGAGCAGCUGUGUGGUGUCUGUCAGCCAGCCAAGGUCAGCCCACCACACUCAGAUGCAGGACGGCCACACACAAAGGUUUAGAUGGACAUCUUAAUGGUAUGCGUUCCUCAUCAACCUUUGACAGAUGUUUCAGAAUAAAUAUGGGUGUGUUAUUCUAAGCCAUCUCCAGGAAGAUAUACACAUUGCUAGACCUAUCAGUCAUGGUUCAUCAAACAGAUCUGAAAACAAAACAGUGUAUCAUGAAAAUAUGCUGUAGUUGCUGAUGUCGCUUUGCAAGGAGUCCUUCACUUGUUUAGAAGAAAGGUGACAUAAACAUCUCCUUUUGCCUUCUAAACUACUGAAGGAAAACUUACUGAGUUACUAGAACAGGGUUGUCUUUCUAACUUUGCUAUUUUUUCUUAAUAUGGUUAAACAAGUGCUAAACACAAACCUUUUUUAUUCCAUAGAAUCAUAGAAUUGCUCAGGUUGGAAAAGAUCUUAAAGAUCAUUGAGUCCAAUGACAACCUAAUCAUACUACCCGAACUAACAACCCUCCGCUAAGUCAUGUCCCUGAGCACCACAUCCAAAUGGUUUUUAAACACAUCCA